GGGAAAUAAAAUUAAAGAAGCGGGCAUUUGUGGACUGAGCUGUGGAUUCACUAAUCAGAGCCAGGAGAUUAGUGUCCUGGUGCCGGGGAAUGGGGCAGUAGUCUGGGCUUCACCUUCACUCCGAGAAUGACAUUUCCCCUGUAAUCCUGACUCCUAGCUCCGCUUAUACAGUGUCUCUGAAGGGAAGGCUAGUCAAGUAUGAAUGAUAGUACACUCAAGAGCAAGGGAUUUGAAUACAUUUUGUGCACAGAAACUUUUGACUAUUUAACACUAUUUUAUUGUACAUUGAAAAGUUGUGUAUGUCCUUGGGGUCACGGUAUGAUAUGUGUACAAUAUGGAAUGAUGAAAUCAAGAGAACUCACUUGACACAUAAAAUUCUGGUGGUUUCUGAUAUGAACAUUUGAAAUGUUUCUUUAGCAAUUUUGAAACGUGUAGCACCCUGUUGUUGAUAAUAAUAAUCUCUGUUCAUUGCAAUAAUCUUGAAAGUUCUUCCUGUCUAAUUGAAGAUUCGGCCUACUUCGAUCACCAUCUUUCCUUUCUCCUUAAUCUUCAUUCUCCAUGCCCUGCAGGUACAGCAUUCAGCUCUGCUACCACAAAUAUGAUUGCCUUAAAGAAGACUGAAAUUGUGUCCUGUGCAGGCCUGACUGUUUUCACUUCAUACAAGUUUCUUCUCUGCUGUUGCAAAUGGAUGACGAGUUUCCUUCCUUUGGUGUGGCAGGCUACCUGAUCUUCACCUAUCCAGAGGAGUUUUGAUUUGAUGGAGCCCCUUAGAUUGGUGUAUGCACUUAUUCCUUUUACGAUCUCAAGCAUGGUAACAAGGAUAGUGACCUUAAGGACUGCCAUCCAGCAUUUGCCUUACUGCCUGACCGGGCCACUCUGGUGCUCUUCCCCUUCGCCGCCCUCAGCUGUUAACAGCUAGCCAUCCUUCUUGGCCUAACAUCUUUCACUUGGAUGCAUUUGUCCAUCACUCUCUUGCUGCUUUGCGUUAUCAGCUCAGCCUGCACUAUUAAAUAUAGGUAAGAAGAGACCACUUCAGAGAAGUUGUUUGUUGGGCCUGAUGUUACGACAUCAUAAGAAAGCAUAGGAGAAUUUAUCUUAAGCUUUCAACCUUCCUAAUGCUGAGACCCUUUCAUACAGUUACUCAUGUUGUGGUGACCCC
ensembl:lncRNA LOC108349241 uncharacterized LOC108349241